rnacentral:rRNA from 16 species
UUAACACAUGCAAGUCGAGCGGGCGUAGCAAUACUUCAGCGGCAGACGGGUGAGUAAUGGGAAGGAAGGUACCUUUUGGUUCGGAACAACACAGGGAAACUUGUGCUAAUACCGGAUAAGCCCUUACGGGGAAAGAUUUAUCGCCGAAAGAUCGGCCCGCGUCUGAUUAGCUAGUUGGUAGGGUAACGGCCUACCAAGGCGACGAUCAGUACCUGGUCUGAGAGGAUGAUCAGCCACAUUGGGACUGAGACACGGCCCAAACUCCUACGGGAGGCAGCAGUGGGGAAUAUCGGACAAUGGGGGCAACCCUGAUCCAUCCAUGCCGCGUGAGUGAUGAAGGCCCUAGGGUUGUAAAGCUCUUUUGUGCGGGAAGAUAAUGACGGUACCGCAAGAAUAAGCCCCGGCUAACUUCGUGCCAGCAUCCGCGGUAAUACGAAGGGGGCUAGCGUUGCUCGGAAUCACUGGGCGUAAAGGGUGCGUAGGCGGGUCUUUAAGUCACGGGUGAAAUCCUGGAGCUCAACUCCAGAACUGCCUUUGAUACUGAAGACCUUGAGUUCGGGAGAGGUGAGUGGAACUGCGAGUGUAGAGGUGAAAUGCAUACAUAUUCGCAAGCACACCAGUGGCUAACGCCGUUCACUGUCCCGAUACUGACGCUGAGGCACGAAAGCGUGCGGAGCAAACAGGAUUAGAUACCCUGGUAGUCCACGCCGUAAACUACGAAUGUCACCCGUUAGUGGGCCUACUCACUAGUGGCGCCCCUAACGCUUUACGCAUUCUUCCUGGUGAUCACGGUUUCAGAUUAUAACUCUACGGAAUUUAUUGGGGCCCCCACUAGCGGGGGACCAUUUGCUUUAAUUCCACUCCACGCUCUUAACCUUACCAUCCCUCGACCUUUCCAGGACCGGUCUCAUAGAUGUGACCUUCUCUUCGGAUCCUGU